UACGAAGGGUGCAAGCGUUACUCGGAAUUACUGGGCGUAAAGCGUGCGCAGGCGGUUUUGUAAGCCAGAUGUGAAAGCCCCGGGCUCAACCUGGGAAUGGCAUUUGGGACUGCAAGGCUUGAGUGCGGCAGAGGAGACUGGAAUUCCUGGUGUAGCAGUGAAAUGCGUAGAUAUCAGGAGGAAUACCGAUGGCGAAGGCAGGUCUCUGGGCUGACACUGACGCUCAUGCACGAAAGCGUGGGGAGCAAACAGG
rnacentral:rRNA from 1 species